GGGUGAUUAGCUCAAUUGGCAGAGCAUCGCACUCUUAAUGCGGCGGUUGAAGGUUCGAUUCCUUCAUCACCCA
rnacentral:tRNA from 1 species